CGGAAUCACUGGGCGUAAAGGGAGCGUAGGCGGAUAUAUAAGUUAGAUGUGAAAUACCCGAGCUUAACUUGGGAACAGCAUUUAAGACUGUAUAUCUAGAGAAAGUCAGAGGGGGGUAGAAUUCCAAGUGUAGCAGUGAAAUGCGUAGAGAUUUGGAGGAAUACCGGUGGCGAAGGCGGCCCCCUGGGAUAGAACUGACGCUCAGGCACGAAAGCGUGGGUAGCAAACAGGAUUAGAUACCCUGGUAGUCCACGCCCUAAACGAUGUCUACUUGCUGUUGGGGGUAAAACCUUAGUAGCGUAGCUAACGCGAGAAGUAGACCGCCUGGGGAGUACGGUCGCAAGAUUAAAACUCAAAGGAAUUGACGGGGACCCGCACAAGCGGUGGAUGAUGUGGAUUAAUUCGAUGCAACGCGAAGAACCUUACCUGCUCUUGACAUGCUAGGAAGGCCUAAGAGAUUAGGCUGUGCCUUCGGGAACCUAGACACAGGUGCUGCAUGGCUGUCGUCAGCUCGUGUCGUGAGAUGUUGUCUUAAGUGACGCAACGAGCGCAACCCUUACUACUAGUUGCCCUAAUUAAGUUUGGAACUCUAGUGGGACUGCCGGUGCUAAGCCGGAGGAAGGUGGGGAUGACGUCAAGUCCUCAUGGCCCUUAUGAGCAGGGCUUCACACGUCAUACAAUGGUAGGUACAGACGGUUGCCAACCCGCGAGGGGGAGCUAAUCCGAGAAAGCCUAUCGUAGUCCGGAUUGUAGUCUGCAACUCGACUACAUGAAGUCGGAAUCGCUAGUAAUCGCAGAUCAGCAUGCUGCGGUGAAUACGUUCCCGGGUCUUGUACACACCGCCCGUCACACCAUGGGAGUGGAGGAUACCAGAAGUUGUUAGGCUAACCGUAAGGGGGCCGAUUACC
rnacentral:rRNA from 1 species